rnacentral:rRNA from 1 species
CCUGACGGUAGUCGUAUGCUCGUCUCCGAGACUAAGCCAUGCAAGUCCAAGUACACGUCCUUGAACGACGGAAACUGCGAACGGCUCAUUAAAUCAGUUGCGAUCUACUCGGCGUUCCGCGCCGCCGGAUAACCGUAGUAAUUCUAGGGCUAAUACGUGCGAAGCGCCGAAGCCGCGAGGCGACGGGCGUUCUCGCCGGAUGUAGGAACCGACCCGGGGACCGCCGGGGGCAACCCCGGCGCCCCCGAGACGGGGCGAACCACGGUGAAAUGACGGAUCGUCGGCCCCGCGCCGGCGACUCGCCGAAUGAGUUUCUGACCUAUCAACUCGAGACGGCGGGGUAGAGGCCCGCCGCGGUAACGACGGGUAACGGGGAAUCAGGGUUCGAUUCCGGAGAGGGAGCCCGAGAAACGGCUACCA